UCUAGCGAUUUAGGGACAGAAACCGCCACCACGUCGCGCUGCUACGUGAGCGAGUCUUUGAGAGUGAAUAAUUAACUAAGACUUGAAAUUCAUGCAAAAAAUCGACCGAAUACGCGUAGCAGCAUACAUUCUGAGUAGAAUGAUACCAAAUUUGUGGGUAUUAUUUGCAAAAAUAUACCCGAAUUUAUGCAGACCGAUUUCUUUAUGGGCGGCUCAAUGUGUAAGAGAGAGAUAGCAUGCUGUGACGUUUGUUUACAUCUGGUCGCUUCCCUCCCCCCCCUUGAGGAAAGUAAGGAAGUUCGGCCGGCGAUGGAUGAAAUUCCUUUCCUAGCCAUUCCUAGCCUCGGAGACCUGAGAUCGGGUUCUGCUGUUAUCAAAGUGUGUUCAAUGUGAGGUUAGAUGAUUUGUAUUUGAACGAAGAUUUUAUCGAAAAGAAAACAAUUUCAUCAGAGUGCUGAAGUGUUGUGGGAAUAUUUUACAGUCGUGAAUCUGGGGUGAAUUUGAAUUACCUACUUUGUACUUUUAUUCAUCCAGCUAAAUAAUUGUGCAACAUCUAAGGAUUUCCUCUCAAGGAACUGUACCCACAAAUGAUGGAAACAUGACAUGCACAGGAUUGUGGAUACCAGCCUACUAAUGCUUCUCAGGUCUUGCUGGAAGGAUGCCUUUUCUUUUCGGAUUCCCAAACAAGAUCAAUUCUCUGGCUGAGAUGUAACACUUUAACAAUUUGCUACAUUUAUGUAACAUGUCUAAAAAGCUCUACAUCAACUAGAUGAUAAGUAUUACUUUAGUACACUCCUGUAUUUAAAUUCAAAUAAUACAAAAUAUUCUUUCAUCGUA